UGAUGGUUUCGAUUUUGACGAGGUCUGAUGCAAGGAAGCCAGAACAGAAUAGCCCAAAGCCAACGUUCAUAUUCAUAAAUAGGCUCUGAGUACACAAAUUAUCAAUAUUUGGCGAAAGAAGAGAUCUCCUCCGGUUUGUUUGUGAUGCAAUGACUGCAACUCAAUGCGCGUGAUUACGAGGUCUAGGGCAGAUCAAGCACACAGCGCAGGUGGCAUGGGGACCAUUCAUUAUACAUCAUAGGUAACUUAUCGGAGAUUAAUGAAGUAAACGUUAGAGCCGGUGAAUUACUGGGAGGGCGGGAGAGCCAGGUAUCCGUAGAUCAAUAACUGAUUCAGCAUGGACAAUUGUGUAGACAACACUCGUGGUCACCGGAACAACCGAAGCUGAACGUGGAACGGAGAAUUCUCGGACACGCUAGCUGCUGAGGGAGUUACCUGAUGAUACCUGGAGAUACCUGGACAGAACCGGGCACCCUACAGGACCUUGCAAUGGGACGAAAUUAAGGAGGUGCCGAUGGAAGUUAAGAUAUUCCGGCGUUAGUUAUUAGCAUUGAAGUACAGCGUAUUGCAGCCCUCAUAUGUGAAGCAUCAAUAUUUGAUUCUCUGCGGACACGAAUUACCCCGCGAAUACUUAGCCAGUUUCUCUUCUUCGUUACUAGUAAAAUGAAUGACAAUGUCUCCAGUGUGACGGUAGAAAAUCUCGUCAAGUUCACGUCACGUGAGACGACUUCAAACCCAUAAAUGUUAGGCUCCAGAAACAAGGCGGCUUUGGAACUGAAGUCAAAGAAUAAUCCUACCAAUGUCCCCACCGGAAGUGGACAUGGAUGUCGUGGUGGCAAAAAUAAUCUCGCUGAUAAUAUCCACCGUGAUAUCCGUCCUCCUAGGGCUCUUCCCGUGUAAACUCUACCAGCACUUUGCCGAAAACAUCGCACGAAUACAGAAAGCAGUAGAUUAUUCCAUCUCAUCCAUGAAGUGCUUUUCCGGGGGCAUAUUUCUUGGAACAUGUUUCCUUCACCUGAUUCCAGAAACUCGUAAAAAGAUCGAGGCUGUGAUGACCCAGUCACGGUCCUACUCACAAUACCCUGUGGCCGAGUUGCUCACUGUUGUAGGUUUCUUCGGAGUUUUGUUCAUGGAGCACGCCAUUAGGUCUCUGUACAAGAAACUCCAGCGUUUGACGGACAGAGAACGAGAUUAUGAUGGUGGAAAUAUGUUUGCGUUCAGCAGUUGCAGAUUUGGAGGAAGUGAAAGUGAUUUAGACGAACAUAGUGUAAACUCUAUAAGCAUGCAGGAUACACUGCAAGCUGAACACAACACAUUCAUUAAAUCGACGGAACAGGAAGAAACAAAGGAAGCCCCGGAGACUGACAUCGAACCAGCGCCCCUCCAGGAUCUUCCGGUCAAAUCAGUUGUGUCAGAACUUAGCAGGGGAGAUGAUUCCAGAAAAGGACAGAUGAGGUCAGCCAUUUUUAUUACGGCCUUGUCCUUCCACGGUGUGUUCGAAGGAAUGACUCUAGGACUACAGAGUAUGGAGAGUAACGUCUGGGUCCUAUGUUUCGCCAUCACAAUUCAUCGGGGGAUAUUGGCUUUCGGAAUGGGGCUAGAACACAUGAGGAAUGAGGUGCACAGCUUUACGAAGACGUUCUUCUUCCUGACGCCAUCUUACAAAGCUUGGCUACAGGAACACUGUUUUAUAUAAUCUUUUUUGAUAUUCUCUACAAGGAACUGAACGGAAACAAAGAGGUCAAAAAGCUGUCGUGUGUUUUCGUUGGUUUCUCUGUCAUGGCCAUAAUAUUUGCAGUCACACGAAGGUGACAUUCCUAUGGAUACAUAGGACUUACCAGAUUGCUCUAUUUUGCUAACUGUUUUGUAUUGUUCAUAUGUAUUUUUGUUGCUUGAUAAUGGUUCUUUUUAAAGCCCUAAAUAUGAAUUGGUUAAUGAAGAAAUACAUCAAUAAAUGAUUGAACACUGGUGUUAGGCUGUGCAUGUAUAAUGAUAGAAUAGCCAUAAAGUUGGAUUUGUAUAAUAAUAAUAAAUGUCAACG
rnacentral:misc_RNA from 1 species